CUGGCUGCGCGGCGGCGGCGGCGGCUCCGGGGGAGGGGGGGGAAGAUGGCAGCGUCCUCGUUGGAGCAGAAGCUGUCCCGCUUGGAGGCCAAGCUGAAACAGGAGAACAGGGAAGCCCGCCGGCGCAUCGACCUCAACCUGGAGAUCAGUCCUGCCCGGGCUCGGCCUAUUAUUGUGAUCACUCUAAGCCCUGCUCCCGCUCCAUCCCAACGUGCAGUACAGGAGAUGGAGAAUCCAC